rnacentral:rRNA from 1 species
GUGCCAGCAGCCGCGGUAAUACAGAGGGUGCAAACGUUGCUCGGAAUUAUUGGGCGUAAAGCGCGUGUAGGUGGCUUGUUAAGUCGGUUGUGAAAUCCCAUGGCUCAACCAUGGAAGUGCUGCCGAAACUGGCGAGCUAGAGUCCCGACGAGGGUGGCGGAAUUCCCAGUGUAGAGGUGAAAUUCGUAGAUAUUGGGAGGAACACCGGUGGCGAAGGCGGCCACCUGGGAGGGUACUGACACUCAGACGCGAAAGCGUGGGGAGCAAACAGGAUUAGAAACCCCCGUAGUCC